rnacentral:rRNA from 1 species
UAGCGGAGGGGGCGAGCGUUAUUCGGAAUUGAUUGGGCGUAAAGGGCGCGUAGGCGGCUCUUUAAGUCAAAGGUGAAAUCCCUCGGCUCAACUGAGGAACUGCCUUUGAAAACUGAGGAGCUUGAGUCCGGGAGGGGGUAGCGGAAUUCCCAGUGUAGCGGUGAAAUGCGUAGAUAUUGGGAGGAACACCAGUGGCGAAGGCGGCUACCUGGACCGGAACUGACGCUGAUGCGCGAAAGCGUGGGUAGCAAACAGG